rnacentral:rRNA from 1 species
CCUACGGGAGGCUGCAGUGGGGAAUAUUGGACAAUGGGGGCAACCCUGAUCCAGCCAUGCCGCGUGUGUGAAGAAGGCCCUCGGGUUGGAAAGCACUUUCAGUGAGGAAGAACGCCUGGUGGUUAAUACCCAUCAGGAAAGACAUCACUCACAGAAGAAGCACCGGCUAACUCCGUGCCAGCAGCCGCGGUAAUACGGAGGGUGCGAGCGUUAAUCGGAAUUACUGGGCGUAAAGCGCGCGUAGGUGGCUUGAUAAGCCGGUUGUGAAAGCCCCGGGCUCAACCUGGGAACGGCAUCCGGAACUGUCAAGCUAGAGUGCAGGAGAGGAAAGUAGAAUUCCCGGUGUAGCGGUGAAAUGCGUAGAGAUCGGGAGGAAUACCAGUGGCGAAGGCGGCCUUCUGGACUGACACUGACACUGAGGUGCGAAAGCGUGGGUAGCAAACAGGAUUAGAUACCCCUGUAGUC